UACGAAGGGGGCUAGCGUUGCUCGGAAUCACUGGGCGUAAAGGGCGCGUAGGCGGCCAUUCAAGUCGGAGGUGAAAGCCCAGGGCUCAACCCUGGAAUUGCCUUCGAUACUGUUUGGCUAGAGACCGGAAGAGGUAAGUGGAACUGCGAGUGUAGAGGUGAAAUUCGUAGAUAUUCGGAAGAACACCAGUGGCGAAGGCGACACACUGGCCCGUUACUGACGCUGAGGCGCGAAAGCGUGGGGAGCAAACAGG
rnacentral:rRNA from 1 species